UCCAUGCACUGUGACUAAAUUGUGAGUUGUUUAGCCAUUCUAUCUUUAAGCAAUUAACCUAAAGAUUUUUCAUUGUCUUGAGCUACUUGGAAGAAGCACAGCUCCAGCUGGAGGGAAGGUAGCUGUCCUGUGACGUGAAGACCUGUGUUUGAAUCCCAAGAAAGCACGUCAGUCGAUCUGUGAUCUAUAACCUCAACGAUCCAAUGUCAAGGUGUAAAGAAGAGUUCUUAUACAGGUCAAAGGUGCCUGCUUUGGACAACUGACAAUGGCCUAGCCCGCCUCAUGUCAAUCAGUAAUCAAGAGAAUGCCCCACAGACAUGCCAACAGACCAACCUGAUAGAUCUGACUCCUCAGCAGAGGUUCUGUUCUCCAAGAGCUGAUGACUGUCAGAAUAGCCACCAGGCUCCACAGGACCUUCAUCGCCAGCUUUGCUGACUGCUACACAACCAAGAAGAUUGGAGAUGAUUAAAGGAGCAGUUGUGGAGUUGAGCCUUGCCGAUUAUUGUGGAAGACUGGAGACUCAGACUGAUGGAGUGUUUCUAAAACUAGGUGUGUGGUCUACUUGUACCCAGGCUACCAAUAUGCUCCCAGGGCAAGAUGGCUGCUGUGUUUGCCACUAACAGAGGCCAUUUUAAUGGUCACUGAACAGUAAAUCUCAAGUUGUGGACUUACAUGUUAGUGAUGGCUUUGACAUUAAAGUAAAUGCAUUCCUAAUUGAA